CGGCCGAAACUCUAUUAGGCAUGCUCUAGCAAAAAGAAAGGCAAAUCCAAUGAUAAUGUACAUCUGUUUCAGGGAAUUUAUAAGCUUUGAACAUUUUUUAUGGGCAGAUAAGUGGGUCCUUUUCUUACCAUAACUUAGAACUUCAAAGCUGAGUGUGUGGAUAAUGCAAAUUGCUGAAAUAUGAGAUUUUCCCUACAAAGAGGUUUCCAAAAAAGACGAGGAAGAAAAAGAGAGGGGGAGAGAGAGAGAACUAAGGCUAAUUGAUGCCAUAGUCUUUUAUGUACAUGGCAAAAACGGGACAGAAAUUGAUUUUUAUGAAAUAAGAAAUCGAUGGGAGAGACAGGGAGAGGAGGAGCCCAGAGGCAGGUGUGAGGGCUGGGCCUGGGCCUGCCAGGUCAGCCUAGGCUGUGGGUCAGCUCUGGGGACACCGCCCCCUCCCUCUGGAUCCCUCAGCCUUAAUGGAGGACAGGACAGGACAGGACAAACAGACAGGACACCUCAGAGGCAGCCAAGGCAGUGGCAGCCCUGCGCCUGGUCCAUCCAAGAUCGCAGGGGUCUCAGGGACAGAGUAGAUCCUGGACGCCUGGGGAAUCAGGAAAGACUUCCUGGAGGAGAGUGGCUGUGUGGGGCCGGCAGGAUCCUAGGUGGCUGGGAGGGGUGCAGGUGCAUAGUAGGUGAAGAAACAGCUGCAUCAGGGGAUGCCUACGUCGUGCCUCUGCCAGCCUGUCCUUUGCUCAGUGCUCUGUUUUUUUCUUAUCUGCCCGCCCAGACCCAGCAAGUAGCUUGUGAGCUCCCUGCGGGCGAGGGCAUAGUAAACACUCAAUGUAUGCUUGUUAUGUGAAUGAAUGAAUGAAUGAAUGAAUGAAUGAAAGACACGCAGGAUCAACCAGCUCUGUCUUUUCACUAUUUGACGUUUUAAUAUCUAUAACAUAACCAAAUAUGAACAUUUGAGUUUGUAAAGCCGUUCUUUGGGCAUGAGGGAUUCGGGUUCUUCGUGCUCUUCUUCUUCGCCGUCUCCUCCCUUCGGCCUCGGGCUCCCCUUCUUAAAACACCUGCAAAGAAGCAGGAGGCCUCCUGCACUCGUUUUAUGAUUUGUCCAAGCCCCUUCGGCCAAGCCAUCCCCUUUGCCAGUGAUUGGCUGAGGCGAUGUCACGUGACCCUCUUCUGGCCAAUGGGCUCCGGAGGAAGUGUGUGGGCGGGCUGUGAGCCGUGCGGCGGCGGCCAUGUUGGCGGGUGCCUGAGGACGGCGGAGCGCAGACCGAGGCCCGGCCCGGGAGGGCGUCGGCGGGCCCCGCUCACCCGGCGCCUGCCGCUGCCCAGCCUGGGCGCCCUCAUUGCUUGGCUUUUCUCACGAGAAAAUCCUGGAGAUGGAGAUUGGAGGUCACGUCGUUUCUUGCGAAGUGAUCCCGAGAAGCGCCAGUAGGGCGCUCUUCCUGACCUCGUGGCUGUGUCUCAUCACGGGGACUGUAUUCGUCUCCCUUUCAUAAUCUCCUCCGCUCUUCUGCUCUGGGACUCCAGGCACAGGCUGCUUGUGGCUCCCCUGUACGCCUUCUCCCUUUCUUGUUGGCAACGGAGCCUCUGGUUUUGAGUUCAAAAACGAAGACUACGGUUCUCAAGACUCCCGCGCAACUCAAUUCUGUCACGCAAGGGGGUGUCCUGUGGCAGCUCUGGGAAUCUUUUCUAAGAGCUAGCUUGUCUAUUCCUGUUGUCCCUUUUCUCCUCCAUCCCCUCUCCCAUUCUGCUGCCUGGAAAGCAGAUGUGAUAGCAGGAAUUCCAGCCAUUGCUCUGGACCAUGAGGACAAGGACAUUACCCUGGAGACGGUGGAGUGGCUGGAGGAAGCCUGUGCCCUCGAGGAAUAGGAGUUCUGCCGCAGACCUGGACACCUCCAUUUAGACUAUUCAGUGAGGAAGAAAUCAACUUGUCGCUUGUGCAAACCACUUUCUCUUGCAACCAAACUGAAUGCUCAGUGAAAGAACUUUCUUGACAUCAGGCCCUAUGGGACCCUCUAGCUUCUCCUGAGGCUUUGCAGAAUCCUCCUUUACAAACUACUGCAUUGGAACUGGGUACCUGGGACCUCUUGUACUAUCCCUGCAGAAUCUGUAAGUAUUGUGAAAUAAAACAUUUUUUAAAUGGUGA